rnacentral:rRNA from 1 species
AUUGAACGCUGGCGGCAGGCUUAACACAUGCAAGUCGAGCGGGGGAGGUUGCUUCGGUAACUGACCUAGCGGCGGACGGGUGAGUAAUGCUUAGGAAUCUGCCUAUUAGUGGGGGACAACAUUUCGAAAGGAAUGCUAAUACCGCAUACGUCCUACGGGAGAAAGCAGGGGAUCUUCGGACCUUGCGCUAAUAGAUGAGCCUAAGUCGGAUUAGCUAGUUGGUGGGGUAAAGGCCUACCAAGGCGACGAUCUGUAGCGGGUCUGAGAGGAUGAUCCGCCACACUGGGACUGAGACACGGCCCAGACUCCUACGGGAGGCAGCAGUGGGGAAUAUUGGACAAUGGGGGGAACCCUGAUCCAGCCAUGCCGCGUGUGUGAAGAAGGCCUUUUGGUUGUAAAGCACUUUAAGCGAGGAGGAGGCUACCGAGAUUAAUACUCUUGGAUAGUGGACGUUACUCGCAGAAUAAGCACCGGCUAACUCUGUGCCAGCCGCCGCGGUAACAC